rnacentral:rRNA from 1 species
GUAGGGACCAAGCGUUGUUCGGAUUUACUGGGCGUAAAGGGCGCGUAGGCGGCAAUUCAAGUCAUCUGUGAAAUCUCCGGGCUUAACUCGGAACGGUCAGAUGAUACUGCUUUGCUAGAGUGCGGAAGGGGCAAUCGGAAUUCUUGGUGUAGCGGUGAAAUGCGUAGAUAUCAAGAGGAACACCUGAGGUGAAGACGGGUUGCUGGGCCGACACUGACGCUGAUGCGCGAAAGCCAGGGGAGCAAACGGGAUUAGAUACCCCGGUAGUCCUGGCCCUAAGCGAUGAAUACUUGGUGUCUGGAGUCUUUAAUGCUCCGGGUGCCGUCGCUAACGUUUUUAGUAUUCCGCCUGGGGAGUACGCUCGCAAG